rnacentral:snRNA from 1 species
AUCGCUUCUCGGCCUUUUGGCUAAGAUCAAGUGUAGUAUCUGUUCUUAUCAGUUUAAUAUCUGAUACGUCCCCUAUCUGGGGAACAUAUACUUAAAUGGAUUUUUGGAAACAGGGAGAUGGAAGAGAGCUUGCUCUGUCCCACAUCCACGCAUCGACCUGGUAUUGCAAGUAACCUCCAAGGACCGGUGCACCUCUC